GAUGAACGCUGGCGGCGUGCCUAAUACAUGCAAGUCGAGCGAACGGACGAGAAGCUUGCUUCUCUGAUGUUAGCGGCGGACGGGUGAGUAACACGUGGAUAACCUACCUAUAAGACUGGGAUAACUUCGGGAAACCGGAGCUAAUACCGGAUAAUAUUUUGAACCGCAUGGUUCAAAAGUGAAAGACGGUCUUGCUGUCACUUAUAGAUGGAUCCGCGCUGCAUUAGCUAGUUGGUAAGGUAACGGCUUACCAAGGCAACGAUGCGUAGCCGACCUGAGAGGGUGAUCGGCCACACUGGAACUGAGACACGGUCCAGACUCCUACGGGAGGCAGCAGUAGGGAAUCUUCCGCAAUGGGCGAAAGCCUGAUGGAGCAACGCCGCGUGAGUGAUGAAGGUCUUCGGAUCGUAAAACUCUGUUAUUAGGGAAGAACAUAUGUGUAAGUAACUGUGCACAUCUUGACGGUACCUAAUCAGAAAGCCACGGCUAACUACGUG
rnacentral:rRNA from 1 species